GAGUUUGAUCAUGGCUCAGAUUGAACGCUGGCGGUAGGCUUAACACAUGCAAGUCGUGCGAGAAAGUAUCUUCGGAUAUGAGUAGAGCGGCGGACGGGUGAGUAACGCGUAGGAAUCUACCUAGUAGAAGGGGAUAGCCCGAGGAAACUCGGAUUAAUACCGUAUACCUCCUUCGGGAGAAAGAAGGCCUCUCUUUGAAGCUUUCGCUAUUAGAUGAGCCUGCGUAAGAUUAGCUUGUUGGUGAGGUAAAGGCUCACCAAGGCGACGAUCUUUAGCGGGUCUGAGAGGACGAUCCGCCACAUUGGGACUGAGACACGGCCCAGACUCCUACGGGAGGCAGCAGUGGGGAAUAUUGGACAAUGGGCGCAAGCCUGAUCCAGCCAUACCGCGUGUGUGAAGAAGGCCCUAGGGUUGUAAAGCACUUUAAGUUGGGAAGAAAAGUUAUUGGUUAAUACCCAAUGACCGUGACAUUACCUUCAGAAUAAGGACCGGCUAAUUCCGUGCCAGCAGCCGCGGUAAUACGGAAGGUCCAAGCGUUAAUCGGAAUUACUGGGCGUAAAGCGCGCGUAGGUGGUUUAUUAAGUUGGAUGUGAAAAUCCCCGGGCUCAACCUGGGAAACUGCAUCCUAAACUAAUUCACUAGAGUACGAUAGAGGGAGGUAAAAUUCACAGUGUAACGGUG
rnacentral:rRNA from 1 species